AAAACAUACUAAUUAAUUAUUUAAAAUUAAAAUUGACAAAAUUCCAUAAACAAAUUUCGAUUCACAACCCGAACGUGAUAUGAACCUAUAAUCAAUUUAAUGCCAUUGGCCGAGUUGUUGCUUUCUCAUACCAAAUAUGGCCGACAUGGGUUAUCAAGCAAAUUGCAGAAAUUCAGUUACACCUAUAAUUUAUGCGUGGCUACCGACCCAAUAUGGUUGUUCCGUUGUUUAUCGAUAAUCUGAUUGUUUAUAUAAAUUAUAACGAGUCUUCACGAGAGAUAACAAACAAGCUUUUAGCUCGAUAUCAAGAAACAUAAAUUCAGAUUAAAGCAACAUUUUGUGGAGACAUUUCUUCAGUAAAUAUCCGACGUUAGAACACACAUCGCUUCACACCUCGUCUUCAAGUCCAUUAUGCAAAUGCGUUAGAUAAACGCAAAUAACGCAGUACUUCGGCUUCGUGCAGAACCGUGAGAUGGAUCGCCCGAAGCGAAACAAUUAUCCAUAAUAAUUUGCUCCAGACCGGUUCUGAGCAAUAAAUUCACGUCAAUCAUCCAAUCAAGCGGUGGCGUUCCCUGCCUGGCGAAAACAAGUUAUUGCAGCUAGGGUGACAAGGAUUUUAAGCGUCAAUACGAGACAAAUACAAUGAAAUAAAAGUAGAUUUUUUUUCAUCACAAGCACAGGCUUUUU